rnacentral:tRNA from 1 species
GGUGAGAUACUCAAGCGGCCAACGAGGGCAGACUGUAAAUCUGCUGACUUUUGUCUUCGAAGGUUCAAAUCCUUCUCUCACCACCA